UACGUAGGGUGCGAGCGUUGUCCGGAAUUAUUGGGCGUAAAGAGCUUGUAGGCGGUUUGUCGCGUCUGCUGUGAAAUUUCGGGGCUCAACCCCGAACUUGCAGUGGGUACGGGCAGACUAGAGUGCGGUAGGGGAGAUUGGAAUUCCUGGUGUAGCGGUGGAAUGCGCAGAUAUCAUGAGGAAUACCAGAGGCGAAGGCGGCUCCCUGGACAAUAGCUGACACUCAGGCACGAAAGCGUGGGGAGCAAAAGGG
rnacentral:rRNA from 1 species